AGAGAGAUAGUUCAGUGGUUAAGAGCACUGGCCACUCUCCCAGAGGGUCUGGGUUGGAUUCCCAGCAUCCCUA
rnacentral:tRNA from 1 species